rnacentral:rRNA from 1 species
GACGAACGCUGGCGGCGUGCUUAACACAUGCAAGUCGAACGGUGAAGGGAUCAGCUUGCUGGUUCUGGAUGAGUGGCGAACGGGUGAGUAACACGUGAGUAACCUGCCCCCUUCUUCUGGAUAACCGCAUGAAAGUGUGGCUAAUACGGGAUAUUCUGCGCCUGCUGCAUGGUGGGUGUGGGAAAGAUAUUGUUUCGGGGGGGGAUGGGCUCGCGGCGUAUCAGCUUGUUGGUGGGGUGAUGGCCUACCAAGGCGGUGACGGGUAGCCGGCCGGAGGGGGGGGAAGGUCGGAAUGGGGAAAGGACCCGGACCCGAACCGGAGGGAAGGGAGCGGUGUGGAGUACUGCACGAGGGGCGCUGGCCUGAUGCUGCGACGCGUGGUGAGAGGGGGUGGCUUUCGGGUUGUGAUCCUCGUUGGGAAGUGAAGCAGGCCGGUCACUUGUGGCUGGGUUGACGGUAGCUGGAGAAGAAGCACCGGCUAACUACGUG